UGUAAUCAGUGAUCCUGUUUUUGAUCUCAUCAGGGUGGAGAUGCAAUGCAUUGCACACUCAAGAUGUACAUGCUUGAGGGUGUGUCAAGGUGGAAUUUGAACCGGUCAGCACAAGCACUUGGUAUGACUGAGACAUCCUGGACAAAGAUAUAUGACAUACGCUUGAUUUACAACGUGAAUGCGCUCAGCCACAAAGUCUUGGGAAAACCUCUUCUUCCAGAGUUUAUCCCCCCUGGGAAACCUACCGGUAAGAAAAGUCUGCUGUUGAUGAUGAUCAAACCUAUACUGUGACAUGGUAGGCAAUUAUUACACAAUCAUUUUUCACUUGGUGACUACUUAUUGCAGGAGAGCGUAUUGCUGUGUAUCUUCUCGCACAGUCCAACAGAGGAGAUCUUCUGAGACAGCAGGUUGGUGAUGAUGAUGAUUGAUGAUGAGGAUAAUGAUGGCAUCCUGCCAGAUAUCUUCGAUGAAACCUCGAGGAUGAAUGUACCGUCCUCAUGACCUCACAUUGCAGGUAAUAUUAUGUCAACAGUAUAUCAGACAUCAAAAUAAUAUUGGAGAACUUAUAAACAGUUCAUUUUUAAUGAAAAACAGACACAAAAAACCUUUAAAAGAUAAAUGUAUUCUUUUAUUAAUCACCUCAGGAAAUUGGAAGCGGUGGCCCCAGGCCCAGGUCGGAUCCCCGGUCCCCAUUUGAGGAGAGUUAUGCCUCUGCAAGACCCGUCCACUCCCCAAUUGAGGAGAGAGAUGCCUCUUCAAGUCCCGUCCACUCCCCAACUGAUGAGAGAGAUGCCACUGCAAGUCCUGUCCACUCCCCAAUCGAUGUCCUCGCCUCAUUUGAAGAGAGUGGGCUCGUUACUCCAGCUCCGGACACUAGGUGUGAUGCAAACGAGGUCCGAACACAUUCCUAUCGAGAUCAUAGAGUUUCAAACGAGGUCCGAGCACUGAUUCCGAACUGUGUAGGUCACGUGAAUUAGGAGGCGUGGUUAUCGCUUUAGAGUGGCAGCCAUUUUUUUCCACCGCAUCACAACAACUGACUCGGGAAAAAGGUUUGGAAACUUGAUUAAUACUCAUAAAAGCAACACCAUAAAAAACAAAACGGUUAACGAUUUCAUUUCUCGUCCCGGCAGCAUGGUAUUCAACUUUGUAUUUCAACUUUCUUGUUACGUGGCCACUUUGCUAACGGAGCAUCUGACUGCUGUGCAUACUAGCACUGUGUGGCUACGGCCAGCAGGGUGGGGAUAUUGGCGAUAUGAUGGGAUCAGAAGACCAAUAAUAACUUAUUUAUUUGCCGUUUAAGCGCCUUAUGAUGUGAAAUAAUUGUGCCAGGGUUCGUCCCCUCCGGUAAUGGAGCCUGGUUAUAUGUUGGCAGAUGUGUCCAGAUGUAGCCUAUGACAUGCUUGUGCAAAGUUAAUUUAUUAACAAUAAUAAAACAGUCCGGCAAAACAUACCUCACACACACACACACACACACACACACACACACACACACACACACACACACACACACACACACACACACACACACUAUAAUAAUUUCCUCCACUCGGUCUGUCUGUACACAUAUAGCCUAGCUCGACAUUAACCUGU
ensembl:lncRNA